rnacentral:rRNA from 1 species
AGGAUGAACGCUGGCGGCGUGCUUAACACAUGCAAGUCAUGGGGGCCCGAGGCGCAAGCCUGGGGCAACCGGCGAACGGGUGCGUAACACGUGAGCAACCUACCCAGGUGUGGGGGGAUAGCCGUCCCAACGGACGGGUAAUACCGCAUACGCUCUUCUUUAGGCAUUUAGAGAAGAGGAAACCUUCGGGGCACCAUGAGGGGCUCGCGGCCUAUCAGCUAGUUGGCGAGGUAACGGCUCACCAAGGCUACGACGGGUAGC